GGAAGGAUCAUUAUUGAAUAAACCUGAUGUGGCUGUUAGCUGGCUUUUCGAAGCAUGUGCUCGCCCGUCAUCUUUAUCUCUCCACCUGUGCACAUUUUGUAGUCUUUCGAUAUCUCUCGAGGCAACUCGGAUUUUAGAAUCGUCGUGCUGUACAAGUCGGCUUUUCUUUCCUUUCCAAGACUAUGUUUUUAUAUACACCAAAGUAUGUUUAAAGAAUGUCAUCAAUAGGAACUUGUUUCCUAUAAAAUCAUACAACUUUCAGCAACGGAUCUCUUGGCUCUCGCAUCGAUGAAGAACGCAGCGAAAUGCGAUAAGUAAUGUGAAUUGCAGAAUUCAGUGAAUCAUCGAAUCUUUGAACGCACCUUGCGCUCCUUGGUAUUCCGAGGAGCAUGCCUGUUUGAGUGUCAUUAAAUUCUCAACCUUCCAACUUUUAUUAGCUUGGUUAGGCUUGGAUGUGGGGGUUGUGGGCUUCAUUAAUGAGGUCGACUCUCCUUAAAUGCAUUAGCGGAACUUUUGUGGACCGUCUAUUGGUGUGAUAAUUAUCUACGCCGUGGAUGUGAAGCAACUUUAUGAAGUUCAGCUUCUAACCGUCCAUUAAUUUGGACAAUUUUGAAAAUUUGACCUCAAAUCAGGUAGGACUACCCGCUGAACUUAAGCAUAUCAAUAAGCGGAGGAAAAGAAACUAACAAGGAUUCCCCUAGUAACUGCGAGUGAAGCGGGAAAAGCUCAAAUUUAAAAUCUGGCAGCCUUUGGCUGUCUGAGUUGUAAUCUAGAGAAGUAUUAUCCGCGCUGGACCGUGUACAAGUCUCCUGGAAUGGAGCGUCAUAGAGGGUGAGAAUCCCGUCUUUGACACGGACUGCCAGGGCUUUUGUGAUGUGCUCUCAAAGAGUCGAGUUGUUUGGGAAUGCAGCUCAAAAUGGGUGGUAAAUUCCAUCUAAAGCUAAAUAUUGGCGAGAGAC
rnacentral:rRNA from 1 species